GCCGCACCGGCGAGGUAGACAAGUUUCUUUGCAGAAUAACUCAAAGUCAAAGACAUGGAAGGCGUUCUCGGGAAAUACCUCUUUAUGGUGUGUGGUGCUGCAGUCGUUUUCCUGAUACUUGCCCCCAGCGAGGCUGAAGGACUUCCUUCUGUAGUAUUUGAAACCCUCCCAAAAAUAUUCGGAAGGAAUGAGGAAUAUGCCAAAAAGUAACAGGUCAAGCCAUUGGGUCUACCAUGUGGGCAACCUGCGUGGGAUUAUGACAUUUCCUCCAAUUCAACAAAAUGUGGAAGGCGAGGUGAUAGCCUUGAAUGAGCAAGUAAAAUUAAAUGAAUAAAGAAUAA
rnacentral:lncRNA from 1 species